rnacentral:rRNA from 2 species
GGGAAUGCGGGGUGCUAUACAUGCAAGUCGAGCGGACAGAAGGGAGCUUGCUCCCGGAUGUUAGCGGCGGACGGGUGAGUAACACGUGGGUAACCUGCCUGUAAGACUGGGAUAACUCCGGGAAACCGGAGCUAAUACCGGAUAGUUCCUUGAACCGCAUGGUUCAAGGAUGAAAGACGGUUUCGGCUGUCACUUACAGAUGGACCCGCGGCGCAUUAGCUAGUUGGUGGGGUAAUGGCUCACCAAGGCGACGAUGCGUAGCCGACCUGAGAGGGUGAUCGGCCACACUGGGACUGAGACACGGCCCAGACUCCUACGGGAGGCAGCAGUAGGGAAUCUUCCGCAAUGGACGAAAGUCUGACGGAGCAACGCCGCGUGAGUGAUGAAGGUUUUCGGAUCGUAAAGCUCUGUUGUUAGGGAAGAACAAGUGCGAGAGUAACUGCUCGCACCUUGACGGUACCUAACCAGAAAGCCACGGCUAACUACGUGCCAGCAGCCGCGGUAAUACGUAGGUGGCAAGCGUUGUCCGGAAUUAUUGGGCGUAAAGGGCUCGCAGGCGGUUUCUUAAGUCUGAUGUGAAAGCCCCCGGCUCAACCGGGGAGGGUCAUUGGAAACUGGGAAACUUGAGUGCAGAAGAGGAGAGUGGAAUUCCACGUGUAGCGGUGAAAUGCGUAGAGAUGUGGAGGAACACCAGUGGCGAAGGCGACUCUCUGGUCUGUAACUGACGCUGAGGAGCGAAAGCGUGGGGAGCGAACAGGAUUAGAUACCCUGGUAGUCCACGCCGUAAACGAUGAGUGCUAAGUGUUAGGGGGUUUCCGCCCCUUAGUGCUGCAGCUAACGCAUUAAGCACUCCGCCUGGGGAGUACGGUCGCAAGACUGAAACUCAAAGGAAUUGACGGGGGCCCGCACA